AUGGCGACGAGCAUGAUGGGUUCGCCGGUUCCUUCUACACUGGAGGUACUGUACGCGGUCGCGGCCGCGGGCAUCGCGUGGUGCGCCGUGCGGGCGCUGGAGUGGGCGUGGUGGAGGCCCCGGCGCCUGGACCGGGCGCUGCGGUCGCAGGGCCUCCGCGGCACGGCCUACCGCCCGGUGGCCGCCUCCGUGCAGCUCAGCCAGCAGCUCAACAAGGAGGCGAGGUCCCGGACCAUGCGCUGGGCUGCCACGACGUCGUGCCGCGGGCGAUGCCGCUCCUCCACCAGGCCGCCAAGGAGCACGGUAAAAUGUCCUUCACCUGGCUUGGACCGGUGCCUAGAGUGA
rnacentral:rRNA from 1 species